rnacentral:rRNA from 1 species
CAUCUUCCGCAAUGGACGAAAGUCUGACGGAGCAACGCCGCGGGAGUGAUUAAUGUCUUCGGAUCGUAAAACUCAGUUGUUUGGUAAGAACAAGUAUCGGUCGAAUAGGGUGGUACGUUUACGGUACCUAACCAGAAAGCUACGGCUAUCUACCUCUCAGCAGCCGCGGUAAUACGUAGGUGGCAAGCGUUAUCCGGAAUUAUUGGGCGUAAAGCGCGCGCAGGCGGUUUCUUAAGUCUGAUGUGAAAGCCCACGGCUCAACCGGGGAGGAUCAUUGGAAAAUGGGAAGCUUGAGUACAGAAGAGGAGAGUGGAAUUACAUGUGUAGCGGUGAAAUGCGUAGAGAUAUGGAGGAACACCAGUGGCGAAGGCGACUCUCUAGUCUGCAACUGACGCUGAGGCGCGAAAGCGUGGGGAGCGAACA